CUCAUGCAACAGGUCAUGUAGACAAUAAAGCACGGAGCCGUCAAGACGAAGACAAAAUUGAGGCGGCCAGCCAUCCCGCUCGUAAAGCGCAAGACGCGCGGUUCGGCAUUGCACGUCAAGACAAGCAAGCACAACGCUUAGUCAACGGGUAGGAAGACCGUCCAUGGGGCCCGGCUGCCGUUACUCUGCCGGGAAGGUGGGGCAGCAGCUCUGGUCAGGGUUGAACAGAGAGCCCCACACGUAGCCAUCGGGGUCCAUUGAGAAAUCCGCAAGCGUGGUGCCCGACUUGAACUUGAAGCAAAUCUUGGGCUUGAGCGACGCAACGUCGCCGGUCUUCCAGUUCAGGUCAGAGACUUUCAGCGUGUUGUCACCCACGGGGCCCCACGACUCUGCACCCACAGGUGGGAGCGAACACGGGUCAGCGUGGGAGGAGCGUCAGCAAGCAAGUGGCACUUGUCCGGUGCCACUGGACACACGCAAAUACGUGCGCAUCACCCUUGGCAUGACCGUGUAACACACACGCCCACACACAUAGCCAGCAACCAACCAUCACACCGCUUUCCCAGUACAUGCCUAUGUCAGGUCCCACGAAAGGCGGCGCUCGCUACUCACGAG
rnacentral:lncRNA from 1 species